GACAGAGGGUGCAAACGUUGUUCGGAAUUACUGGGCGUAAAGCGCGUGUAGGCGGCUAAGUAAGUCGGGCGUGAAAUCCCACGGCUCAACCGUGGAAGUGCACUCGAAACUGCAUAGCUAGAGUCCUGGAGAGGAAGGUGGAAUGCUUGGUGUAGAGGUGAAAUUCGUAGAUAUCAAGCGGAACACCGGUGGCGAAGGCGGCCUUCUGGACAGUGACUGACGGCUGAGACGCGAA
rnacentral:rRNA from 1 species